rnacentral:rRNA from 1 species
UACGUAGGUGGCAAGCGUUGUUCGGAAUUAUUGGGCGUAAAGCGCGCGCAGGCGGUCCUUUAAGUCUGAUGUGAAAGCCCACGGCCCAACCGUGGAGGGUCAUUGGAAACUGGGGGACUUGAGUGCAGAAGAGGAAAGCGGAAUUCCACGUGUAGCGGUGAAAUGCGUAGAGAUGUGGAGGAACACCAGUGGCGAAGGUGGCUUUCUGGUCUGUAACUGACGCUGAGGCGCGAAAGCGUGGGGAGCAAACAGG